GGCGGGGUACCGAAGCGGUCAAACGGGAUCGGCUGUAAACCGAUUGGCUCUGCCUUCGCAGGUUCGAAUCCUGCCCCCGCCA
rnacentral:tRNA from 1 species